CGACCUGAAGUCAAGC
rnacentral:rRNA from 1 species